AUUGAACGCUGGCGGCAUGCCUUACACAUGCAAGUCGAACGGCAGCACGGGAGCAAUCCUGGUGGCGAGUGGCGAACGGGUGAGUAAUAUAUCGGAACGUGCCCAGUAGUGGGGGAUAACUGCUCGAAAGAGCAGCUAAUACCGCAUACGACCUGAGGGUGAAAGGGGGGGAUCGCAAGACCUCUCGCUAUUGGAGCGGCCGAUAUCAAGUUAGCUAGUUGGUGGGGUAAAGGCCUACCAAGGCAACGAUCUGUAGUUGGUCUGAGAGGACGACCAGCCACACUGGGACUGAGACACGGCCCAGACUCCUACGGGAGGCAGCAGUGGGGAAUUUUGGACAAUGGGCGCAAGCCUGAUCCAGCAAUGCCGCGUGCAGGAAGAAGGCCUUCGGGUUGUAAACUGCUUUUGUCAGGGAAGAAAUCCUCUAGGUUAAUACCCUUGGGGGGAUGACGGUACCUGAAGAAUAAGCACCGGCUAACUACGUGCCAGCCGCCGCGGUAAAAC
rnacentral:rRNA from 1 species